rnacentral:rRNA from 1 species
AAUAGAUACCCGGGUAGUCCAUGCCGUAAACGUUGGGCACUAGGUGUGGGGGACAUUCCACGUUUUCCGCGCCGUAGCUAACGCAUUAAGUGCCCCGCCUGGGGAGUACGGCCGCAAGGCUAAAACUCAAAGGAAUUGACGGGGGCCCGCACAAGCGGCGGAGCAUGCGGAUUAAUUCGAUGCAACGCGAAGAACCUUACCAAGGCUUGACAUGUGCCAGACCGCUCCAGAGAUGGGGUUUCCCUUCGGGGCUGGUUCACAGGUGGUGCAUGGUUGUCGUCAGCUCGUGUCGUGAGAUGUUGGGUUAAGUCCCGCAACGAGCGCAACCCUCGUUCCAUGUUGCCAGCACGUAGUGGUGGGGACUCAUGGGAGACUGCCGGGGUCAACUCGGAGGAAGGUGGGGAUGACGUCAAAUCAUCAUGCCCCUUAUGUCUUGGGCUUCACGCAUGCUACAAUGGCUGGUACAAUGGGUUGCGAUACUGUGAGGUGGAGCUAAUCCCUAAAAGCCGGUCUCAGUUCGGAUUGGGGUCUGCAACUCCG